UAGAGACAUUUGCUUCUUUAAAAACGUGCUC
rnacentral:piRNA from 1 species